rnacentral:lncRNA from 1 species
AGGCUCUGGCUCUUAGGUUCCCUGGACUUCUCCACACAUCUCCUUCAUCCAGUGUGAUCCUCCCUACGGGUCUCUUCGCUGCAGCUCAGCAGCUGCAGAGGUCAAAAGCCUUGCAAAUGGAAGUCACAGAGGGGACGUGAAGGAAGAAAUGAAUACUGCAGACCAGGGGAGACCUGCCUGGGAUGGGAUCUAAGGGGACAUUACUACAUCUGCUGAGGGGGUCAUACCUUUGCCGACUGAAAAGUCACUGGUCAGUUCCUACACCCCAGGACUUCUGUGGCCCAGCUCUGCAUAUUAUCAGCGUAGGAUACUAACUAGCAGUGGCACCUAGGUGCUUGCUUGGUGGAUGAGCUUCAGAGUUCAGCUUGUUGACCUGGGACUCGGCGAUGUCCGCCCUCUCCUCCGCCUCAUCCAGCUCGUGCUGCACCUUGCGGAACUUGGACAGCCUCCAGCUCAUUCUCCAGCUCCCGGACCCGGGCCUCCAGCUUCUGCAGCUGCUUCUUGCCGCCCUUGAGGGCGAUCUGCUCUGCCUCGUCCAGACGGUGCUGCAAGUCCUUGAUGGUCUGCUCCAUGUUCUUCUUCAUGCGCUCCAGGUCGUCAUUGGCACGGACAGCAUCAUCCAGCUGGAUUUGAGUGUCCUGAGGAUCAGAAAAAUGAGUGGCCUCAUUGCGGCUGCGUGUCUCCGCAUCCAGGGAGGUCUGCAGGGAGUCCACCAUCCGCAGGUGGUUGCGCUUGGCCUGCUCCAUCUCCUCAUCCUUCUCUGCCAGCUUCCUUUCAAUCUCUGCCUUGAUCUGGUUGAACUCUAGCUGGGCGCGGAGGAUCUUGCCCUCCUCGUGCUCCAGGGAGGCCUGGAAAGGAUAUAGAUUUUGCAGGCAUAUAGUCAGAGACCAGGGUGGAAGCAAGGGUGUGUCUAAAAACCAUGGCACAGAGAGCAUUUGGGGAUGGUAUACAUGACUCAGUAGGAGAUGCAGUGGAAGGAAAUGAGAAAGAGUGUGCACAAGAGAAAUGAAAGCAAGCUGAAGAGAAGGGGAUGCAGACUCCCAGGGGGGCGGAGGGAGUCAGCUUUGAAGACAAAGAGGAAAAUGAAAAGUGUUGCCAAGGAAACAGAGGCAAUGAAGCAGAGAGUAAAGGAACAAAAAAAAAAAAACCACCACACACAGGCAGGCAGAGGUGGAAAGUGGAAUGAGCUGAAAUAGGAGUCUUUCUAAGGUACAGUAAAUAAAAUGUUUGUGUGAAGGAA